rnacentral:rRNA from 1 species
GGCACUACGGUGCUGAAGCAACAAAUGCCCUGCUUCCAGGAAAAGCCUCUAAGCAUCAGGUAACAUCAAAUCGUACCCCAAACCGACACAGGUGGUCAGGUAGAGAAUACCAAGGCGCUUGAGAGAACUCGGGUGAAGGAACUAGGCAAAAUGGUGCCGUAACUUCGGGAGAAGGCACGCUGAUAUGUAGGUGAAGUCCCUCGCGGAUGGAGCUGAAAUCAGUCGAAGAUACCAGCUGGCUGCAACUGUUUAUUAAAAACACAGCACUGUGCAAACACGAAAGUGGACGUAUACGGUGUGACGCCUGCCCGGUGCCGGAAGGUUAAUUGAUGGGGUUAGCGGUAACGCGAAGCUCUUGAUCGAAGCCCCGGUAAACGGCGGCCGUAACUAUAACGGUCCUAAGGUAGCGAAAUUCCUUGUCGGGUAAGUUCCGACCUGCACGAAUGGCGUAAUGAUGGCCAGGCUGUCUCCACCCGAGACUCAGUGAAAUUGAACUCGCUGUGAAGAUGCAGUGUACCCGCGGCAAGACGGAAAGACCCCGUGAACCUUUACUAUAGCUUGACACUGAACAUUGAGCCUUGAUGUGUAGGAUAGGUGGGAGGCUUUGAAGUGUGGACGCCAGUCUGCAUGGAGCCGGCCUUGAAAUACCACCCUUUAAUGUUUGAUGUUCUAACGUUGGCCCCUGAUCGGGGUUGCGGACAGUGUCUGGUGGGUAGUUUGACUGGGGCGGUCUCCUCCUAAAGAGUAACGGAGGAGCACGAAGGUUGGCUAAUCCUGGUCGGACAUCAGGAGGUUAGUGCAAUGGCAUAAGCCAGCUUGACUGCGAGCGUGACGGCGCGAGCAGGUGCGAAAGCAGGUCAUAGUGAUCCGGUGGUUCUGAAUGGAAGGGCCAUCGCUCAACGGAUAAAAGGUACUCCGGGGAUAACAGGCUGAUACCGCCCAAGAGUUCAUAUCGACGGCGGUGUUUGGCACCUCGAUGUCGGCUCAUCACAUCCUGGGGCUGAAGUAGGUCCCAAGGGUAUGGCUGUUCGCCAUUUAAAGUGGUACGCGAGCUGGGUUUAGAACGUCGUGAGACAGUUCGGUCCCUAUCUGCCGUGGGCGCUGGAGAACUGAGGGGGGCUGCUCCUAGUACGAGAGGACCGGAGUGGACGCAUCACUGGUGUUCGGGUUGUCAUGCCAAUGGCACUGCCCGGUAGCUAAAUGCGGAAGAGAUAAGUGCUGAAAGCAUCUAAGCACGAAACUUGCCCCGAGAUGAGUUCUCCCUGACUCCUUGAGAGUCCUGAAGGAACGUUGAAGACGACGACGUUGAUAGGCCGGGUGUGUAAGCGCAGCGAUGCGUUGAGCUAACCGGUACUAAUGAACCGUGAGGCUUAACCUUACAACGCCGAAG